rnacentral:lncRNA from 1 species
AGGUGGAAGGACACAUGGUGCUUCUGUCUAACGUGUCAGUAGGCAGGAACGUGGGAUCGAAUACAGAUGUGUUCAUGAAUUUCCUUCCCUACUCUUCAACCUCUGUGAGGGUGCAGGUCCUGUAGGCAGAAAAUUAGGAGCUCUGUGUGUCAACCUUGGGCCUGCCGCCUACUCGCUAAGUAACUGGUAACCGCAGGGCGGCCUCCCAACCUCAGGUCCCCAAACCGGUUAGAGCAGGAGGCUGUCUCCAACGGUGGGGAAGAUCCGAUUUCAGAAAUGGAAGCUAUUUUGCCCCAUGCUCCCUCCUGAGCUGAUCAAUGGCAAUUGUUCACAACAAUAGCACAUGGCCAGUCCACCCCAGGUCCUUUCUCCUGACCAGAGAAGCGUAAAGCUGGAAGGUGCAGGAAAACAUCCAGUUGCUGAGCUGACUUCACUGAAGAAGCCCGGAGAGCUGAGCGCAUUUUCAGUCUCCCAAAUACCAGUCGGUGAGUGGUUAGUCCUCCGCUGUCUCACACUUUAGUGCUCAGUCACUUGGACUUCUUUCUUGGCAGCAGGUACCUGAACUUCCAGUUUCUCAAGAGACCAAGUUGUGGGAAACGGCCCAUCAGGAAGAAGAUUCUUGCCUCUGGCGAGAUUUGACCACAAGUUUAGGGUAGGUUUUGGUCAUGGUUUCUGUGAAAGAGGCUGUUCCUGGAUCCAAAAGAGGGCCAGCAUCAGCAAAUUUGAGCAAAAAGAGCCCCCGUGGAUGCCAAUAACGCCAAAGGCACUGCAGAGAAGGCUCCCAAGCAAAGUGGAUUUAACUUGUGGGCAACUAUGAUCUAAGAAAAGACAUACAGUUUCAAAGAUUCUGACUCGAAAUCCUCUUAGAGUGGGAUGAAAAGCCACCGUCUGUGUGAUGCAUGGGGUUGGCAGUGACCCAGUGAGACCAAUGUUACCCCUAGCUUUGUGAUAUUAGGCAAGGCACUUAACUUUUUUGAGUGUCGGUUUUCUAAGCAGAAAAAUGAGUUGGACAAAAUACUUUCUAAGGUAACUUCUAGUUCUAAGAUUCUCUGGCUCAGUUAUACUUUUACUUCUGGAACUCCACCCACUCCUCUCAACAGCUAAAUCACAUUUCUAACUGGGGAUUGUUGGGUUGAGAAUUUAACGAUAUUAAGAUUAAUGGGAUUAAGAGUUGCCAGAGUCUGAUUUUUCUUCUCCAAGGCAUUUCAGUACUGCCUUGUAUUUUCUAUUCUGGGCUUAGAACUCACUGCAUGAGAAUGCCGUGGAUCGUGUCUUAACCCCCUUCUGCUCAGUCUCACCAGUGAAAAAUGGAAGAUGCAUACUGGCAUAGAAAGAAGAUCACAAGCUUCGGAGCCAGAGAGACUUAGGUUCAAAUUCCAGCUCAACCCCAUUCCUCUCUGAGUGAUGGUAGAUAACUAUUCAAGGUACGUUUUUCUGUAAAGCAGGGAUAAAAAUAUCAUGUUGAAUUAUCGAGAGGAUUAAAUGCCUCCCAUAUCCCAAAGGCAUUUAAUGGCUCACCC